rnacentral:rRNA from 1 species
UACGGGGGGAGCAAGCGUUGUUCGGAAUUACUGGGCGUAAAGGGCGUGUAGGCGGACUCGGUAGUCAGGCGUGAAAACUCAUGGCUUAACCAUGAGCCUGCGUCUGAAACUCCUUGUCUUGAGUACAGAAGAGGAGAGUGGAAUUCCUGGUGUAGCGGUGAAAUGCGUAGAUAUCAGGAAGAACACCGGUGGCGAAGGCGACUCUCUGGUCUGAUACUGACGCUGAGGCGCGAAAGCGUGGGGAGCAAACAGGAUUAGAUACCCGCGUA